rnacentral:rRNA from 1 species
GCGCCGCUCUAGCCCACCCGCUGAAUUUAAGCAUAUCGCUAAGCGGAGGAAAAGAAACCAACCGGGAUUCCCUUAGUAACGGCGAGUGAACCGGGAGAAGCCCAACGCCGAAUCCCGUCGCAAGUAAAAGGCUUCGGGACGUGUGGCGCACGGGUCGAAGGCAGCCGUUCGUUUCGUCUCGCGUAGUUCGGAGUUCCCUCGAUCGGGGCCGCCCGCGCGGUGCCAGGCCCAUUCGGUGCGGACGGCGAGCGACGGCCUUCGAUCCGAGAGUCGGGUUGCUUGGGAACGCAGCCCAAAUCGGGUGGUAAGCUCCAUCCAAGGCUAAAUACCGGGACGAGUCCGAUAGUCGACAAGUACCGUGAGGAAAGUUGAAAAGAACUUUGGAGAGAGAGUUCAAGAGAACGUGAGCCGCCAGGGUAAACGGGUGGACGUCACGCGAUCCGGGGGGAUCCAGUCGUGCUGCAAAGUGCA